rnacentral:lncRNA from 1 species
GCCGGGAGGCUGCUAAAUGGUGCCAAGACAUUCGCUCGCCCUUUUGGCUCUGCAUCCACAUGUAGAGACUUGUUAGAAAGAGAAACCGGGCGGGGAGAGGAGAACGAACCCCCUCGUUUUACCUGCGGGAUGCUGUUGUCCCGUUUCCUCACCAGAUUAAACUCACAUUCGUGCAGCCUCGCGACUGCAAAACACACAGACACUUGAUGAAAGUGGCAGCAAAUGAGCUCCCCUUGCGUGAUGCCCAGAGGCCGCCUGGCCGGAGAGAUGGCAGCAGAGCCCUCGGCUGGGAAACCCUCUGGCAUUGCUGGGACGUGACCAGAGAUAAACAGCACAGGCGGAGGGACACCAAGCAGGGACCUGGAAGUGGUUUCGUUGACUGGGAUCACGACCCUCAAACCAGCCCCACCAGCAAAGCAG